GAGAGAGAGAGAGAGAGAGAGAGAGAGAGAGAGAGAGAGAGCAGGGAGGAAGAAGGGAGGGAAGGGGCGGCCGGAUCCUGCGAGGCUGGGUUGGAGCCCCGGUGGUGGUGCUGCUGCUGUUGGCACAUUUGAUGCAGAGCAGCCACUGUAAGUUUCUCCCCCUUCUCUAAUUAGUAUUCAGAUUCCUCUCCCUUGUCUAAUCAUUAUUGAGAUUCCAUUGCUAUUUGAUGGAGAGCAGCCACCAAGAGUUCCUCUUUUGAUGCACAACGGCCACCGAAACCAUCUCUCUUUCUCUCUCUAAUUGAUUCUCAGCUACAAAAUGACGUGUGUCUGUGUACUUGCUAAUGUGAUGGCUAAUGCAUGUGGAUUGAUUCAUGAAUUAGCAAUAUAUUUCCCGUGAGAUGUGCUAAUAUACAAAUUUUAUGUUUACAGUGCCCUCUACUUGUUUGUUGUUAUGCCUAUAAGAGAUGAUUUUUUUAAUUUUAAAUAGAAAAGCACAAUACAGUUGCUCUUAUACAGCUUAUGAAAAGCAAUUACAAGUAAGAGGAGUGGUGUGUUCUCCUUAAAACGAAAUUGCAGGAGUUCACACGCAUGGUGGCGCCAUACAUCGGGUGCAUGGUGGCAGAGUUCACAAGCCAGGUCACUGAUUGGCGUAAUGGUUGUCCUGAUGCAGAGGAGGACAAGGUUCAAGGUGCUGGGCCGGUGACAGGGGCAGCAUGAUGUUUCCGUCAGGUAACAACCUAGCCAUCGACUCAAGAUUUAACUGAACCAAUUCCUUUAAUUCAAGCUCCAAAUUGUUGUUAUUCGAUUCGUUCAUUUGUUACUGGCAACAACUAACUGUACAUAUAAUUGUUGAUUUAUGUACAAACAAUAUCUUCACUUGUUCCAAAUCUUCAAUAAGGAUCAUCAAGCCCUAUGUUCUUUAUCUGAAGAAUAGAAAUUGUAAUUGUGCCAUCCAUUACCUCUGAAAGUCAGGAAUCGGAAAAAAGUCAUUUGCAUAUCUCUGUCACCAAGGAAGGUUGGUUAGACAGAAAAAGGACCUCUGGUUAUGUAUGACAUGAUGCAAGGCACAUAUCUCUGAAUGAAGCGGAACAUGAAUUGACAUCAUCUAAUGCUAACUGCUGACCAUUCUUCUCUGGAGUAUCAGUUCAGUAUCCCAUAUGCCCCCUAUUCAUCUGUCAUCUCUACAUGAAAAUUUAAUGCAGUUUUUAAUCCUAUGUUUAAGUGUAGCUAAAUUUCUGUGGACCAAUCAUAUUAUCUUUCCGAGAUAACAGAUCAACCUUCAUCAUGUACUUCUGUUGUAACUUCUCUCAUCUUUUGUGCUAUUAUCUAAAAGAGGUGUGGAUCGGAAUCAGUUUUUUUCCUGCACCCCCGAUCCAACGAGGCUGCGCACACAUGCACACUGAAUUUAUAUAUAUAAUGCUUCGAGAUCUGAAACUAAAAGUCAGAGAGAUAAAUUCAAGAAAGCUUCAGCUUUAAACACGUAUAUCUGAAGAGUUCCGGGAUUCCAAUCGCCUGAUUCUGGUAACAUCAGAUGUUUCAACGCGUGGAGUGAAUUAUCCAGAUGUUACCCCGCCAUUGGGAAGACCCUAUGUCGCAGCCAUCAGCCUUGUGUCUGGAGCCCCUUGCAGGUGUACAACCGGCACAAACUCUCCAGCGCGGGCAGCAUAAGGAAUUUGGUUUGGGCCCUCAUCUGUAGGUCAUGACGGCUGAUGUUGUCCUCUUCUCCUAUGACGUUGAUAUUAAAUCCCUUCCUCCAAGGUAAUCAGACAAAUCACCUUCAUAUAUACAACUUUGUUUCUCCCCAUGUUUCACUCACCCCCUACAAUAUUUUGUGGAAUCCGUGAGCUUUCUUCUGUAUCCACUUGCAUGUCAAACGUUGCGUGAUACACCAGAGGAUGUAUUUAUGGAGUAAAUUGAUGUUCAGGUAUUGUAGCUUAUUUUCACAAUUUUGAAAAUGGUGUGAUUUAGUUGAUAUAGGCAAUUGGUGUAGAAAAUAUAAUGAUUGUAUGCUCAGUUUUUGUAUCAUGAUGCUAUCAUCCCCAUAGUUGUGUUCUGCGUCUUUUUUAGUUAUGUUCUUUCAGUUUUCCUGUGUGGAAGGAUCCAACAAAAAAAAGGAAGAGUUUGUUAGUGAUCAUGUUUCGGUGCUGCGUACAAUAAGUUACCCGCUUUGAGUUUUAAUUUGUCAGAAGUAGACUUGAACUUUUGCUCUGCAUGAUUACAACGGAGCACCAACAUAGUUCUAGUAGGUAUAUGAUUCUGGAGUCGUUCGGCUGGAUACUUAUACCAUUUGCUCUAUGUAUGUUGGAUUUAACAAAUUAUCAAGUAUACUAUGGUAUAGUCUAUGAGCAUCUUGAAUUUUGCUGUAAAUCCAAAGUUUAUUUUUGUACAUCCUGUAGAUUAUCGGUCUCUAAAUCAUGUAGUCCGUUUCAGGUAUAUGAGUGGCAGCUGUAGUACUACGUGAAGAUUAUAAAAACAGGUUGAAUGUUUUUGCUCUCUAAUUCAUUAGUAGUUGCGCUAAUUAUCAUGUGAUUCCAUGGCAAUAGUGCGCAAUCUUAUAAGCUGCCCUCAAGAACAUGAAGGUUUAUUCCCUUUGAUUUCCUUUAUCCUUAUAAAUACACGUUGCUUAUUACAGUUCCAAAAUAUGCCAAAAUUUUGAGCAGAAAGCAAUAUUUGCUACAGAUUUAUGCAUUUAGCUAGGCCGCCGGUAAGACUUUGCACUGAGAUAGUAAUUCUGUUCCACCAUCCAUGUUAUUGUAUUCCUAGCCAUUUUUCCUACAACUUUUAUUGUAUGCUUAAAAUGUUAUCUUCAAUACAGGUAAAGUAAAAUGCAGAAACCCUCUUUCCAUGGCAAAAAAAUUUGUAAGCUCAUAUGUUAUAGUUUUUCUAGGCAAAAGCUAGCCAGCUGUAAAGAAAUCAAGGCAAAAAAAACAUCUUGGUAGACAUAGCUUAAGAGAACACAUCUGCCGACAUAAAAUGUGUCAUGUGCUAAGAUGUCCACCAAUAAUCCAGUACUUGCUGGAUACCUGUUUUGUUUGCUCCUUCUGUUUAGAUUUGAGUUGAUGGGGGUGAGAUGUGACCCCGCUGUUGGGCGUUGCAAAUGCCACGGCUCCAAUGUGUGCCCCAGCUUCGGUGAUGCACGGGCGAGGCUACUCGAUUUGGUGUAGUUGCCCUCCUUCCAAGAAAUCGUGUUUUUUUGUUCAGAUUUUAGAUCUCUUACUUUCAGCUUAGUUCAAGGAUAGAAAAGCUUGCUCCUUAUGGAUUCAACAAGACCAUUAGCCAGUUUUUCAGAAUUGGAUGAUAUGGUGCACCUUCAUUUUGCUGUCCAAUUUCUUAGCUUAUUUGCUUUAAUUGUGCUACAGUUAUAUAGCAGGAUAAGUAUCCAAUCUUGUGACACCUCUCCAUUUGCACCAUCGUCAAAAGUUGCACAUGAGUUGAUUCGGACUUUCAGAGUUCAGAGAACACCUGGCCGAGUCAAUCGGCCUAAAGGUAUAUCAGAUCGUAAGGAAAGGGUUCCCGGUUCAGAUUUUUCACUACUUUGUGUUGUUGGAUAGCCAUGGUAUGUGAUAGUUUUAUUUUACUGCAGAAGUUCAAUUCUUGGGAGUUAGGAUAUGAGGUGUAUACAUCACUUUUCUUACGAAUCUAUUCUCUUUUAGUGCACUAUCUAUCUAUCUAAUCUGUCUAUCCAAGUUUUCAAAGAAAUUGAUGGCGGCGGCUCAGCAGCGUCGUGGCGAAUGGCGAAGCUUCUAAAAUGGACGGAGAGUGGUGGUGAUGCGUGGCUGGGAGAAGACAUGUGUGCUAUUUCUGAAAAAAGAAGCUUCUUUGUUGGCUGGCAUCCCUGAUGGUAGUUUUAGAUAUGUACCAAAACAACUGGCGUCUCAUAAUUCAUUGGAUGUAGACCAAAAGGAUCAGUUACAAAUUCUUGCCUAUAAAUGACUUUCAGUUUCUAGCUUUCAUAAAAUUUAGACAUGUACUCUUUAACAGUAUGUUCUGGUUUAUGGUGGGCCUAUGUGCUGGUUGAAAUUAUCAUGUUGGAUAAUA